rnacentral:rRNA from 1 species
UACAGAGACUGCAAGCGUUGUCCGGAAUUAUUGGGCGUAAAGAGCUCGUAGGCGGCCUGUUGCGUCCGCUGUGAAAAUCCCCGGGGGCUCAACCCCCGGGCCUGCAGUGGAUACGGGCUGGCUAGAGGCAGGCAGGGGAGAACGGAAUUCCUGGUGUAGCGGUGAAAUGACGCAGAUAUCAGGAGGAACACCGGUGGCGAAGGCGGUUCUCUGGGCCUGUACUGACGCUGAGGAGCGAAAGCGUGGGGAGCAAACAGG